UCGGGAAUUUUGGGCAAUGGGCGAAAGCCUGACCCAGCAACGCCGCGUGAAGGAUGAAGUAUUUCGGUAUGUAAACUUCGAAAGAAUAGGAAGAAUAAAUGACGGUACUAUUUAUAAGCUCCGGCUAACUACGUGCCAGCAGCCGCGGUAAUACGUAGGGAGCAAGCGUUGUUCGGAUUUACUGGGCGUAAAGGGCGCGUAGGCGGCGCGGUAAGUCACUUGUGAAAUCUCUGAGCUUAACUCAGAACGGCCAAGUGAUACUGCAGUGCUAGAGUGCAGAAGGGGCAAUCGGAAUUCUUGGUGUAGCGGUGAAAUGCGUAGAUAUCAAGAGGAACACCUGAGGUGAAGACGGGUUGCUGGGCUGACACUGACGCUGAGGCGCGAAAGCUAGGGGAGCAAACGGGAUUAGAUACCCUGGUAGUCCCUGAGCGGGCUGGCAAGGCGCAU
rnacentral:rRNA from 1 species